UGGGGAAUAUUGCACAAUGGGCGAAAGCCUGAUGCAGCAACGCCGCGUGAGGGACGACGGCCUUCGGGUUGUAAACCUCUUUUAGCAAGGAAGAAGCGAAAGUGACGGUACCUGCAGAAAAAGCGCCGGCUAACUACGUGCCAGCAGCCGCGGUAAUACGUAGGGCGCAAGCGUUAUCCGGAAUUAUUGGGCGUAAAGAGCUCGUAGGCGGUUUGUCGCGUCUGCUGUGAAAACCCGAGGCUCAACCUCGGGCCUGCAGUGGGUACGGGCAGACUAGAGUGCGGUAGGGGAGAUUGGAACUCCUGGUGUAGCGGUGGAAUGCGCAGAUAUCAGGAAGAACACCGAUGGCGAAGGCAGAUCUCUGGGCCGUAACUGACGCUGAGGAGCGAAAGGGUGGGGAGCAAACAGGCUUAGAAUGACCCUGGUAGUCCACCCCGUAAACGUU
rnacentral:rRNA from 1 species